UCUUGCACCAGGCGUAUCAGCAUGGUGUCAGUGCCGGGUCAGAGGCACAGUGGGGCACUAGUGGGGUGUCUAGGGUAAGUGGAAGGGCCCACAGGACUGGUGACCAACCACACAAUAGCUCUCACUGUUCUUUGUCAAUAGCUACUUUUUUUAGCAGAGACACCAGAGCCACACACUCCAAUGGCUCAGUUAAGUUAUGACCUCUCAUUAAAUUCUUUCUGAAUAGCCCAACUGUUGCGUCCAAGUUUCCUGACUUGUCAGUCAGGACGUUAGCCUUUCAUCCUGCGUGUCAUGGCAGAGGCAACAGGAGGGGGAU
rnacentral:lncRNA from 1 species